rnacentral:lncRNA from 13 species
CACCAUGCCUUGCCUGACAAUCCGUUUUUUUAACUGGAUGAAAUUUACAGAUUAUUCUGGGGAAAAUUAAUAUUUUUCUGAUGUUGGAUAGUUCUGUCUAUACUAGACACACACACACACACACACACACACACACACACACACAAAAUUAAGUCUUAGUAUAUGCCUUUUAAUGAAGUUUUAAAAUGUUUUUGAAAAAUCUUACUCAUCUUUCAUGACAUUUAUUCCAAAUUCUCUUAAAUUGUGUUUUAAGAAAUUACAUUUUUUUACUGGUUAUUUGGUUAUUGCUGGUAAAUAUGAAUGAAACUGAUUUUGGGACAUUGUUACAAGUAACUUUGCUAGCAUAUUAAUUCUCAGAGUGUAUUCUGUAUCGGUUUAAUAGAGUAUAAAUUCUCCUAACGUUUUCAUAUAGUCAUAGCAUUUGCAAGCCAUGACAAUUUAUUGUUUUUCCUUUCCAGCUGUGGCAGGAACAUUCACAGCUCCCUGAAUAUUCCUGUACUCCCUCACAUUUCCAGGCCCUUUGGAGUUAAAGUCAUGUGACUUAUUUGAGCCAAUAGGGUGGAAGUGGAAGAGAUGAAUGUCACUAGGAAACUGGAGGAAUAAAGAGCUGAUGUGUCAUCCUCCAUUUCUCCCUUGCCUCUGUACAAUAACUGGGUGUUCCCCUUUUGAGAAGCACAGCCACAAAAGGACACUUCUUAGGACUGAGUCACCACCAGCAAGAUCUACUAUGAACUUUGAGCAAAAGCAAACUUAUGUCGUGUUGAUCCUGAGUGCUUUGUUAAAAACAUUCUGCAUGCUGACCUCCGUCUCAGUGUUUGCUUCCUGGGGAAACCUGAAACAGGACUCGAUGCUAGAAGCUAUCCAGAAGAACCAGAUUGGCCACUGUCCUUGCCAGAAGAUCCGAUCUCCUGUCUAUGGCCACCACCUAACACUGCUCACUUCUACAUCUAAACCUCAGGUAGGUGUGUCUGUUUGGAAGAACUGUAGGUAAAGGGAGUCUUCAAAAUUUAGCGUUUAGUUUAUAAUAGAGGAUGUUGUGCUAGAAGAAGGGUUGGAUGGGUGCAAAUUGGGUAAGACAGCUUACAAUAUCUGCCACAGUUGAACCCUACAUCAUUCAGUGUUCAUUUAUUCUUUUCAUAUUGAAAAUACAAAUAAUAACAGAAAGAACAACAUGCACCUGACAAACAUAAUGCAAUGAUUCCUCCUGCAUUCUUACCCCUCUCCCUAAAAAGGAGUAAAACAGUUAGUCACCAUAUCUAUCACUGAAUGAUGUUCAUUUCUACUCCAAUUUAGUCACAAUCUCAUCUUCUUAUCUUGUAUCCUAGGGAUUAAAUGAUAAAAGUAACACCAGCAUUUUAAGAUAAUGAAAAUUGAUUUAAAAAAAUGAGGAAGAACAUGAUGAGCAGCUGUAACCAGUCAUGCUCUUCUUUUUUAACUUAUCACAAGUUUAUGGUAGACAUUUAUAGCUUCCUCCUCUACCCAUUCAAUGUUUACUGUGACUUCAUUCAGCAUCUCUCCUGGCCUGAGUUCUUUUCCUGAUGAAACAAUAAUCAUUUUUGUGCCCGAGAGGUCUGAACGUUGGCAACCCUACUUGUACGAGGUUGCUAUGGUUUCUGGGGGAAUUUAUUUAUUUUUUAAUUGUGGUAAAAUAUGCAAAACAUGAAAGAUACCAUAGUUGCCAUUUGUAAGUGUAUGAUUUAGUAACGUUAAGCAUAUUCACAAUGUUCUGUAACCAUCACCGUUACCUAUUUCUAGAACUUUUUCAUCAUAUAAAACAGAAAUUUUGUACUUAUUAAGCAAUAUCUCCCUCAUUCCACCUCUCCCCAGCCUAGUCUCUGGUAACUUCUAGUCUACUUUCUAUGAAUUUGCAUAUUUUGGAUUAUUCAUAUGAGUGAAAUUGUACAAUAUUUGCCCUUUUGUGUCUGGUUUAUUAGCAUAAGGUCUUCAAGGUUCAUUUAUGUUGUAACAUGGAUCAGAAUUUCACUCCUUUU